GUCUUGUAAUUGGAAUGAUGGUGACCUAAACCCUCACCAGAGUAACAAUUGGAGGGCAAGUCUGGUGCCAGCAGCCGCGGUAAUUCCAGCUCCAAUAGCGUAUAUUAAACUUGUUGCAGUUAAAAAGCUCGUAGUUGAAUUUCUGCGUUAUCGAGUUAUUGACUCUUGUCUUUAAUCGAUUUCGCUUUUGGGAUUUAUCCCUUUUUACUUUGAGAAAAUUAGAGUGUUUCAAGCAGACUUUUGUCUUGAAUACUUCAGCAUGGAAUAAUAGAGUAGGACUUUGGUUCUAUUUUGUUGGUUUUUGAACCUUAGUAAUGGUUAAUAGGAACGGUUGGGGGCAUUCGUAUUUAACUGUCAGAGGUGAAAUUCUUAGAUUUGUUAAAGACGAACUACUGCGAAAGCAUUUGCCAAGGACGUUUCCAUUAAUCAAGAACGAAAGUUAGGGGAUCGAAGACGAUCAGAUUCCGUCGUAGUCCUAACCAUAAACUA
rnacentral:rRNA from 1 species